AUGGCCGGCGGCGCGGCGGACGGGCGACAGAUCCGCGUGGAUUCGGCCGUCCUCGAGCACCAGCCCGAGUCCCCUCCUCGUCCGCUGCCGCGGCCGCAUGGCGCCCGGGAAGUUUCCUCGCCGCCGCUCCCAGAGGAGCUCCUGUUGGACAUCUUCCGCCGCAUUCCCGACCCGGCCGACCUCGUCCUCACCUCCGCCGCCUGCGUCACAUUCCGCCGCCUCAUCACCGACCGCUCCUUCCUCCGGCAGUACCGCAAGCUCCACGCCCCGCCCCUCCUCGGCUUCCUCCAGUACGGAGACAAUGUCUUCCACCCUGCGGUCCCGCCUCACCCCUCCGCGCCGGCAGCUCGGGUCGUCGCCCUCGCCGGCGACUUCUCCUUCUCAUUCGUCCCCGCCCCUGACCCCGCUCACCGCUGGGUCGUCCGGGACAGCCGAGACGGCCGCGUCCUUCUUGAAGCAAGCCCCCGGGAAGGUUAUAGUGCCCGUGGAGUCGUCUUCACAGAGUUGGCGGUGUGCGACCCGUUGCACCGGCAGUAUCUCCUGCUUCCCCCAAUCCCCGGUGACCUAGCAGCUGCCGUGGAGGACCCGCUCAUGCGAAUACGGCCGCAUUUCAGCGAGACAUUCCUCGCUCCGCAAGGCGACGGCAAUGAGGCAUCAACUGCUGAAGAGACGUCAUUCAGAGUGAUCUGGAUGGUCCAGUGCGAAGCUAGGGUCGUGGGCUUUGUCUUCUCUUCCAGCACCAGGCAAUGGCGAGCCAUUCCAUCCCAGAGUUGGGCCAAUUUGUUAGCUGGCUUCGUGUCAUCGACUGGGUUGGCACUCUUCUACGGGCGCCAAUGUACGUGUGACUACUUUUACUGGCUGCCAAACUGUCAGUACGAUUUGAAAAUGUUGGUGCUCGACACCCUGAGGAUGGAGUUCUCCGUUGAUGAACCCCCAACUGAAGCCAAAAAUGCGUUAUUUCUUGGUAUAACCAUGAUGGAGACAGGAGAAGGCCGUCCUAGAAUGCUUGCUGGUACCUAUGACAUGACUUGCGGCAAUCAUACCCUUUGGAGGAAAAAUGGUGGGAGCACCAGCCAGUGGCAGAAGGAGAAGAUGGUCUCACUCUCACCGGGCCCUCGGGAUGUGCUGAGAUGUUCAAUUGGGAAUUAUUUGGUCCUGGAUCACUUUGGAAGCUCGUCGCUUGAGAAAGGCUUAUACACAGUGGACAUCGAAACAUUACAGCUUAAGAGAGUGUGUGCUUCAGUGCUUGGCAGCACAUAUUGCAACUACCCACCAUCGUUGUCGGUACCGAAAGUAUCAAGUGGUAUUGAGGAGGAAGUGCUGGAACAAGGCGUGGAGGCCCUACGAGCUAAAGGGUCCGUAGAUGGCCAUCAAAAUGGAGGUCAAGCUGAUGUGUUGGGGGUUGGAGAUGGUGCCGAUUAA
rnacentral:rRNA from 1 species